AGAAAGGCUUUAUUUAAAGCUAUUAAUUCAUAUCUAGAAGCUAAUU
rfam:Colinus virginianus strain Texas jcf7180006226977, whole genome shotgun sequence.